GACGAACGCUGGCGGUGUGCUUAACACAUGCAAGUCGAACGGAAAGGCCCUGCUUGCAGGGUACUCGAGUGGCGAACGGGUGAGUAACACGUGGGUGAUCUGCCCUGCACUUCGGGAUAAGCCUGGGAAACUGGGUCUAAUACCGGAUAGGAGCCAUUUUUAGUGUGAUGGUUGGAAAGUUUUUUCGGUGUAGGAUGAGCUCGCGGCCUAUCAGCUUGUUGGUGGGGUAAUGGCCUACCAAGGCGGCGACGGGUAGCCGGCCUGAGAGGGUGGACGGCCACAUUGGGACUGAGAUACGGCCCAGACUCCUACGGGAGGCAGCAGUGGGGAAUAUUGCACAAUGGGCGCAAGCCUGAUGCAGCGACGCCGCGUGGGGGAUGACGGCCUUCGGGUUGUAAACUCCUUUCGCUAGGGACGAAGCUUUUUGUGACGGUACCUAGAUAAGAAGCACCGGCUAACUACGUG
rnacentral:rRNA from 1 species